rnacentral:rRNA from 1 species
GACGAACGCUGGCGGCGUGCUUAACACAUGCAAGUCGAACGGAAAGGCUCCAGCUUGCUGGAGUACUCGAGUGGCGAACGGGUGAGUAACACGUGGGUAAUCUGCCCUGCACUCUGGGAUAAGCCUGGGAAACUGGGUCUAAUACUGGAUAUGACCUUUCUCCUUAUGGGGUUUGGUGGAAAGUUUUUCGGUGUAGGAUGAGCCCGCGGCCUAUCAGCUUGUUGGUGAGGUGAUGGCCUACCAAGGCGACGACGGGUAGCCGGCCUGAGAGGGUGAUCGGCCACAUUGGGACUGAGAUACGGCCCAGACUCCUACGGGAGGCAGCAGUGGGGAAUAUUGCACAAUGGGCGGAAGCCUGAUGCAGCGACGCCGCGUGAGGGAUGACGGCCUUCGGGUUGUAAACCUCUUUCAGCAGGGACGAAGCGUAAGUGACGGUAACUGCAGAAGAAGCACCGGCUAACUACGUG